GUAGCGGUCGCUGCCCGUUCCCGGUGUUUGGGGGGUGCCCUAACGAGCAGGGCUCGCAGGACCUGGGGUCUGACUCCCGCCCUCGCUCGUUCGUUUAUCGAGCGCAUAUUGGGCCUGCAUGCCCAAGCGCGGGCGAGACGCUGGGGAGGGGACGGGCGGUGAUUAAAAAUGAACAAGAUCCUGCCAAGAAGAGUUCACAGUCUAGCGCGCAAGGCCGACCAGACUGGCGGAGACUCCAGAACCAGGUCCCAGAGCCUGAACCACUGACCACCUCCGGUUGCGCUUGCCCGAAAGUUUUAGAGCUGAGUGGGGACUUCCCAUGUAAAUAUUGGGAGACCUGCGGCUGGAGAAAGGGACCGAAGGCAGAAGCGGCUGCCUCGCCCUUCUGAGCGCACAGACCUGACCCUGUCAGUCCCUGUCCUUGUGAGCAGGCCUGGAUGUGGGCAGAGGGCUUGAAGAGGUCCCCCCACUCGGUGAAGCUUUGUUCUGCCUGGGACAGUUGCCUGCUGUCUUCAGGGUCCGCAGUGGUGGUGGAGGGUCCUGGAGUAAGAGUGU